rnacentral:rRNA from 1 species
UACAGAGGGGUGCGAGCGUUAAUCGGAAUUACUGGGCGUAAAGCGCGCGUAGGCGGCUUUGUAAGUCGGGUUGUAGCAAAUCCCACGGCUCAACCGUGGAACUGCUUGGUAUACUGCCUGUCUUGAGCCACUUAGGGGCUGUCGGAACAAGCGGUGGAGCGGUGAAAUGCGUAGAUAUCGCUUGGAACGCCAAAGGUGAAAACAGACAGCUGGGAGUGUGCUGACGCUGAGACACGAAAGCCAGGGGAGCGAACGGG